rnacentral:rRNA from 1 species
AUUGAACGCUGGCGGCAUGCCUUACACAUGCAAGUCGAACGGUAACGGGCCUUCGGGUGCCGACGAGUGGCGAACGGGUGAGUAAUGCAUCGGAACGUACCUUUCAGUGGGGGAUAACGUAGCGAAAGUUACGCUAAUACCGCAUAUUCUGUGAGCAGGAAAGCAGGGGAUCGCAAGACCUUGCGCUGAUUGAGCGGCCGAUGUCAGAUUAGCUAGUUGGUGAGGUAAAGGCUCACCAAGGCGACGAUCUGUAGCGGGUCUGAGAGGAUGAUCCGCCACACUGGAACUGAGACACGGUCCAGACUCCUACGGGAGGCAGCAGUGGGGAAUUUUGGACAAUGGGGGCAACCCUGAUCCAGCCAUGCCGCGUGAGUGAAG